AACGCGAAGAACCUUACCAGGAUUUGACAUGGGCAGGCCUGGCACAGAGAUGUGUCUUUCCCGCAAGGGACCUGCCGCACAGGUGCUGCAUGGCUGUCGUCAGCUCGUGUCGUGGAAUGUUGGGUUAAGUCCCGCAACGAGCGCAACCCUCGCCUUUAGUUGCCAUCAUUUAGUUGGGCACUCUAAAGGAACUGCCGGUGACAAGCCGGAGGAAGGUGGGGAUGACGUCAAGUCCUCAUGGCCCUUAUGUCCUGGGCUACACACGUGCUACAAUGGUGGUGACAGUGGGAAGCUAGGUAGUGAUACCGUGCUGAUCUCUAAAAGCCAUCUCAGUUCAGAUUGUACUCUGCAACUCGAAUACAUGAAGGUGGAAUCGCUAGUAAUCGUGGAUCAGCAUGCCACGGUGAAUACGUUCCCGGGUCUUGUACACACCGA
rnacentral:rRNA from 1 species